GCUCCAGUCCAGAUGGGGAUGCUGGAAGUGUUACAGCUCUUAGAAAAGGCAUAAAGAACUUUGUGCCACCAGCACAGGACAGGAGGCUGGGUCAUGGGUCCUGCAGUAGCUACACCUGCUGUGAUAUCUGGAGCUCAUACUCUGAUGUGAGAGUCUGCAAGUCCUGGCUAGUCAGCUUGAGAAGAGACAAGACAGUGAAUAAUAAGGAUUCACCAUGCUAUGAUUUCAAGAGAGUCCAGAAGGUUGAAACUCUUAAGCCCAUGCUAGACCUGAACUCCAAGCAACCCUCCUACUUCAGCCUCCUAAAGUGCUGAGCCUACAUAUAUGCCCUUUCAGAUGAAUCCAGUUGAUCCAUGGCUGCAGAUAGCUAUAGAUGGCGCCACAUUAAGGGGCCUGAAAACGGAAACCAGCUGAGGAAUGCUGUCUUGGGUGGAACCCCACAAAAAAUGGAACAAGAAGCAGAAUAUCCUGCGCACUUGAAAAAAGAAACUGGAGCCCAAUGUCUGCCUGAAAGAUUGUCAAGUGGACACAGAUCUUCAGCCUAAUGAUUAUGAUUCUCAUGAUGAAGAUGGCUCGAAAUCCUUAUCAGCCAGCUAAUUUAACCUGGCAUGUAGUCUCUAUCAAUUCUUAAAGGUACCCACUAUAUACCUGGUGGCCAGACCUUGUGUCUAAUCUCUGUCAACCAGCAGUUGGAUUAAAUACUGGGACAUUUCUGCUUUCAACCUUAUUUUCUACCUUUCUUGAAUAAUCACAUUACUUUUAACCUUUGAACCUUGUAUUUUAAUCAGAUUAAUUGCCCUCACACAGGAUCACUCUCAGCAAGCUCAACUAUUCAUCAUGGCAGUUACCCAUCGCUAUGAAGAAUUGCAUCAAGUGCAUGUCCACAGGUCCUUUAGUCUGAAUGUGGCUUUGGUCUAUAUAGGAAAGAGUGUGCCAAUGAUGGCCAGUUAGUCAAAGAUGGGUAAGAGUGUUCUUGAGCUCCUAUAGACCUAAGACAGAGGCGGACAUCAAUAUGCUAUGUAAGUUUUCCUUGAUGAUGGGCAAUAAGGAGCAAUAUAGAUGCCAACCUAAGCCAGGCACAGUCGCUCAGCCACUCUUUACCAUAGAAGGGAUGAAAUCUUGUGCCCUGUCCAGCUGCUGGCAUUGCUCAUCUUUAUAAAACAAAAGAGGGGAAUUGUGCCCUUCCCCCAGCCUUGAGUAGACCUGAAAGACCUUGUUUACCACAAUAGGCCAAAAAUAAUAGGACCCAGGUGGUGUUACCCACCUUGGCUCCACAUACAGCCUGCUACAGGAACUUAGAAGAACAGACUGCAUGCUGAGCUUGCCUUGAGACACCUGUGACUAGGAUGGGUUCCCCUCACCCACACUGGCUGAACCAAGAAGGGGUUUGGUGGUAGGGGUGGGGCUCCCCCUUUAAAUUGAGAGUUGAACAUUAAAGCAUUGAGCCUCGAUCAGA